rnacentral:tRNA from 1 species
AGUUCCGCAGUUUUAGAAACGUCAGAUUGCAAACCUGAAAUUGUAGGCUAACGCCUGCCGGGGCUU